UGGGGAAUUUUGGACAAUGGGCGCAAGCCUGAUCCAGCCAUGCCGCGUGAGUGAAGAAGGCCUUCGGGUUGUAAAGCUCUUUCGGACGGGAAGAAAUGGCGGGCUCUAACAUAGCCUGUCGAUGACGGUACCGUAAGAAGAAGCACCGGCUAACUACGUGCCAGCAGCCGCGGUAAUACGUAGGGUGCGAGCGUUAAUCGGAUUUACUGGGCGUAAAGGGCGCGUAGGCGGCGCGGUAAGUCACUGGUGAAAUCUCUGAGCUUAACUCAGAACGGCCAAGUGAUACUGCUGUGCUAGAGUGCGGAAGAGGCGACCGGAAUUCUUGGUGUAGCGGUGAAAUGCGUAGAUAUCAAGAGGAACACCUGAGGCGAAGGCGGGUUGCUGGGCCGACACUGACGCUGAUGCGCGAAAGCCAGGGGAGCAAACG
rnacentral:rRNA from 1 species